rnacentral:misc_RNA from 1 species
GUCAGAGAUAUCAUCAACAUUCUUACUGUCCUCCAUUGUAGUUUUCUCAACCUCCAGAGCUUUUCUGGAAGAAAUAGCCUCUGCACUAAUCCUCUCAACAGCAACUUUAUCUGAAACGGUAGCUUCAGCUCUAUCUACCUGACCUGCUUCCACAUUCAGCUUCUCCAAAUUUGAUAAGUUCGAUAACACGUUGACGUGACUUUCAUGAGUAAGUUGCUCAGAUUUCUGUACAUUAUUAUCAUGGUUAGACUGUUUGUCACACUGAGACAUUUCAAAUUCCUUGCAAGUAGAGUGAAUGUUAG